CAACCGGUGUUUUUAAACACCACACAUUACUGUUGAUCCGAUUAGG
rfam:Gonium pectorale scaffold01910, whole genome shotgun sequence.